AGAGUUUGAUCAUGGCUCAGGAUAAACGCUGGCGGCGUGCCUAAAACAUGCAAGUCGAACGGGCACCUUCGGGUGUCAGUGGCGAACGGCUGAGUAACACGUGGGUGACCUGCCUUCGAGCGGGGGAUAACUGCCCGAAAGGGUGGCUAAUACCGCAGAUGUCGCUUCUUCGGUGAGGUGACUGAACCGUUAGGGUUCGGAGAGGGGCCCGCGGCCGAUUAGCUAGCUGGUGGGGUAACGGCCUACCAGGGCAUCGAUCGGUAGCUGGUCUGAGAGGAUGAUCAGCCAGACUGGGACUGCGAACGGCCCAGACUCCUACGGGAGGCAGCAGUUAGGAAUUUUGGGCAAUGGGCGAAAGCCUGACCCAGCAACGCCGCGUGGGUGAUGAAGGCCCUCGGGUCGUAAAGCCCCUUUCCCAGGGACGAUGAUGACGGUACCUGGGGAAUCAGCCCCGGCUAACUACGUGCCAGCAGCCGCGGUAAUACGUAGGGGGCAAGCGUUGUCCGGAUUUAUUGGGCGUAAAGCGCUCGCAGGUGGUUCGUCGCGUCGUGCGUGAAAGACCCCGGCUCAACUGGGGAGGGUCGUGCGAUACGGGCGAACUGGAGGCCAGUAGGGGGAUGCGGAAUUCCGGGUGUAGUGGUGGAAUGCGUAGAGAUCCGGAGGAACACCAGCGGCGAAGGCGGCAUCCUGGACUGGUCCUGACACUCAUGAGCGAAAGCGUGGGGAGCGAUCCGGAUUAGAUACCCGGGUAGUCCACGCUGUAAACGAUGCGCACUAGGUGUCGGGGGUAUCGACCCCCUCGGUGCCGCAGCUAACGCGAUAAGUGCGCCGCCUGGGGACUACGGCCGCAAGGCUAAAACUCAAAUGAAUUGACGG
rnacentral:rRNA from 1 species